AUGGAUUAAUCAAAUUAUGAGUUCGUCUAGUCAUAGGUUCAUUGUGUUGCGGGCUCGUAGAUUUCAGAGCAAAUCAGAUCCUUAAGUGGACAUUACUGCCGAAAUGUUGGACCAGGCCGGGCCUGUAUGCGCGCCUCCAAAGUCCAAAAUCCCCCCAGCCCGCCUCAUUUUUGGAGGUGAUUCAGCGCCAGUGAAUCCAGGAGAAAGGGGUUUUUCGGAGGUUUUUAGGGUUCAUAUCCUUGACGUUGCUUAAGGAAAACGGAGAGCUACAAUGGCUACUUUGGUUGGGAGAUCAACCUGUACACUGAUGCGGGCAACAUUUCCCAGAACAAUUUGUCAAUCAACAAUCAAAAGCAAAAGCUUUUCUAUGCCUCCCUCAAUUCUCCCUAACGCCACUCUACGUGUUUCCCCAUCUUCACUUUCUUCUCCAAGGUUGGCUUUGCUAUCCUUUUUUCUUUAAAAGCUGUUCCUUUUUUAGUUGCAUGGCUGUUUUUUGUUUCUCAUUUGAAUGGGAUAACCAAAAAUGAUUGUGGGCAUUGGUCAUAUCGGUAGGAUGGUUUUACGACGAGAAUUGAGCUCACUUCUGCCCUUACACAGUGCCACUGCUUCAGCUUGCCUUGUCUCCAAGCUUCCCUCUUUAGACCGUUCCUCCUCUGAAGGUUCUUUCCACAUACACUUCUUGCUAUAACUUCUCGUUCUUAAUAUUAGUUAGAGGUCUUCGCUGAUCAAAGUAUUGGAUUUGAUGUUUAAUAUUAAGAAUUGAUGGCCAUAGGAUGAGAACUUGACCUAGUGUUGAGAUGGCUUGGAAUUACUUGUCGAAAUGCUCUGUAGUGUCUUUCUGCAUCUAAAUUGAGCAUGCAUAAUGGUUCUUGUGCUUAGAGAGACCGUUUGAAGUGGUUUUGGAAUCUGCCCUAUUGUAAAGAUGGAUUAGGGUGCAAAACCAAUGGCUCCAACCCAGUUCUGUAGUAAAAAUUUGACAGUUGGAAAAUGGAAUGUUAUUGAAUUGUCAUAUGGUCAAACUUGUGGUUUUAGUUCAUUAAGAUGGAUAGGAGACUUUCUCAAACUGGUGUCCGAACUGAUGCCUGAUUCUACAUUUGUAUACGAACACACCGAGCAAAUACAUGCAAGGGAGACGGAAUAAAUUUAGGUUGUAUCUCAUAUACUCAUGUGGUGGCUCAUUCAGUUUCGUUUCCUGAUUACAGGUAGAUUUGUUAACUAUGUCAGCCCCAUCUAGCAUCAAGUCCUGCUACUGGGAAGAGAUGCGUCAUAGAAUUUGGCUGAGUGAUUUUACAAUGGUAAUGGACGAACUGGGAUACGAAGUUGCUGGUUUAUUUCUCCAACCGACACUCUGGCUCCACGGUUAAUUCCUGAACAUGUUUGUUUAUAUUCUUCGAUGCAGCUGCUUGUUAUUGAGCUUGGCCGUGAAUUGAUACUAGUGUCAUCAUUUGAUAAGGAGAAAUUUUAAUCACUCAGACCAUAGUGGUACUUUUAGCAUCAUAUUAUUUAUGCAUGCACUUACUGGUGGUGCAAUUUCUGGGUUUAUGGAUUAUAGACACCACCUUUCUGGAAGCCUUUUUUUGUUUGUGUAGCACCUUCUGGUAAUAUGCACUGUUGCUGAGUUGCUGAUAUUCAUCAAAAAAGAUUGUCUUAGGAUACUCUUCCGUUAUAUCUGGUUUCUAUAACCAUUAAUCCAGUAUAAUUUGAUUUCCUGUGUUGUUUUUGCACCUUUUCGUUUGAUGGGAAUUUUCCUUCUCAUACAAAUAUAAAACAUCAAUGGAUCUUUUGAAUGAAGUAUUUUGCAGCAAAAUAUAGUUCAUGAACAAGUACAGUACGUAUAUAGUUCAUGAACAAGCACAGUACGUAUGUAGUUCAUG
rnacentral:lncRNA from 1 species